UUAUGUGUGAAAUAUGUAUAGGUAAUGUAUGAGGUAUAUGUGGGUUAUGAAUGACUUGUGUGUAUGUUAUGUAUGAAUUAUGUAUAAUGUAUGUGUGAAUUGUGUAUGAGGUAUGGAUGAUGUGUGAGAUAGAUUGCAGGGAGUCAACAUUUAUACAAAAUCAUCAGUUAAAAAUGAAUAAGAUAACUAAUAGGUAUAUAUAUGUUAUAUAUGAGAUAUGUAUGACUGACGAAUGUGUUAUGUAUAAGAUAUGUAUAGCUUAUGUAUGAGGUUUAUGAGUUAUGUAUGAAGUACUUAUGAGGUAUGUGUAGUUUAUGUACGAGGUAUAUAUAAGUUAUGUGUGGGGUAUGUAUGAGUUAUGUAUGUGUUAUGUAUGGUAACAAGCAAGGGUUAGGCAACAAACUUCAAUUUUUUUUCCUUAUUCUUGAAGAUCCAUAAUAAAUUAAUCAUACUCUACAAAGUCUUUAUCAAUGUGUAGAAACUACAAUUAUUCAAAUUCAGCAAAAUAGUCAUCGUCACUUCAAGCACAUUUAUAGUCUUUAUUUGUUUGAAGAUUAAUCCAUGCGCCUACAAUAAUCCAUAAUUUUUUCAUAUGAUUCUAAAGCUCCUUGACAAAAUCACCAAAACAUACAAUGAAAACACUUUGUUAUUGUAAUUUGUAAGGUUUAAACCUCUUUUUGGUCCCUAAAUUAUAAGCGGAUGUUCAGUUUAGUCCCCGUUUUUAAAAAUGUAAAUCUUUGGUCCCUAAGUUAUAAAAAAUGUAUUAAAUGAGUCAUUUUUUAACUUGAAAUACUGUUUUUGGUUGUUUCUUAACAACUACUACAUCUUUAGAUUGCUCUGAUUUGUUUUUUAAUAAUAACAGCACCUUAGAUUUCUCUUUGUACUUUGACCAUGAACAUCAAAAAAGGACUCAUUUGAUACAUUUUUUAUAACUUAGGAAUCAAAGGUCUACAUUUUUAAAAGCGGGGACUAAACUGAACAUCCGCUUAUAACUUAGGGACCA
rnacentral:lncRNA from 1 species